rnacentral:rRNA from 1 species
UACCAGCACCCCGAGUGGUCGGGACGUUUAUUGGGCCUAAAGCAUCCGUAGCCGGUUCUACAAGUCUUCCGUUAAAUCCAACUGCUUAACAGGUGGGCUGCGGAAGAUACUAUAGAGCUAGGAGGCGGGAGAGGCAAGCGGUACUUUAUGGGUAGGGGUAAAAUCCGUUGAUCCAUAGAAGACCACCAGUGGCGAAGGCGGCUUGCCAGAACGCGCUCAACGGUGAGGGACGAAAGCUGGGGGAGCAAACCGG